rnacentral:rRNA from 1 species
ACGCCUAACACAUGCAAGUCGAACGCAGUAGCAAUACUGAGUGGCAAACGGGUGAGUAUAAUGUGGGAAUCUGCCUUUUGGUUUGGAAUAACACGAGGAAACUUGUGCUAAUACCGGAUAAGCCCUUACGGGGAAAGUUUUAACGCCGAAAGAUGAGCCUGCACUUGAUUAGCUAGUUGGUAAGGUAAAGGCUUACCAAGGCAACGAUCAAUAGCUGUUCUUAGAGGAAGACCAGCCACAUUGGGACUGAGACACGGCCCAGACUCCUACGGGAGGCAGCAGUGGGGAAUCUUGCACAAUGGGGGAAACCCUGAUGCAGCGAUGCCGCGUGAGUGAAGAAGGCCCUUGGGUUGUAAAACUCUUUCGUCGGGGAAGAAAAUGACUGUACCCGAAUAAGAAGGUCCGGCUAACUUCGUGCCAGCAGCCGCGGUAAUACGAAGGGACCUAGCGUAGUUCGGAAUUACUGGGCUUAAAGAGCUCGUAGGUGGUUAAAAAAGUUGAUGGUGAAAUCCCAAGGCUCAACCUUGGAACUGCCAUCAAAACUUUUUAGCUAGAGUGUGAUAGAGGUAAGUGGAAUUUCUAGUGUAGAGGUGAAAUUCGUAGAUAUUAGAAAGAACACCAAAUGCGAAGGCAACUUACUGGGUCACUACUGACACUGAGGAGCGAAAGCAUGGGUAGCGAAGAGGAUUAGAUACCCUCGUAGUCCAUGCCGUAAACGAUGUGUGCUAGACGUUGGAAAUAUAUUUUUCAGUGUCGCAGCGAAAGCAUUAAGCACACCGCCUGGGGAGUACGACC